GCCGAGGUGGUGAAAUUGGUAUACACGCAGCCUUGAGGUGGCUGUGCCCUAAAAAGCGUGCAGGUUCGAGUCCUGUCCUCGGCACCU
rnacentral:tRNA from 1 species